CCUCCAGUUAUUGCUCUUCUAUUCUCAGUGUUCAGCUGCAAUACUUUGCUCUCACGACCAAAGUUCUGCUUUACUCCAAUUUAAGCAGCUCUUUUCCUUUCAAAAAGAUUCCUCAUCCCGUUGUGAAGGAUAUCAACAAUCUCGUCCCAAGAUGAUGUCUUGGAAAGAGGACGCUGAUUGCUGCUCCUGGGAUGGAGUAACAUGUGAUUCGGCGACGGGUCACGUGAUUGGCCUCGACCUCAGUUGCAGUUGGCUUCACGGCAACAUCCCUUCCAACAGUAGCCUUUCCUUGCUUCCUCGCCUGCGAAAGCUCAACCUAGCCUUCAAUGAUUUCAAUUACUCUAAGAUUUCUUCUGGUUUUACUGAUCAAUUUCCGAGUUUGACAGUCCUUAACCUCUCUUUCAGCGAUUUCACGGGGUCAAUUCCUGCCUCACUAGGUAACAAUAUUACACAACUUGCUUAUUUGGAUCUUUCGAAUAACAGUUUUACUGGUCAGAUUCCAUCAUCUUUUUCAAAUCUUCAGCAACUUCGUCAUUUAGAUCUUUGGGAAAAUAAGUUUGUUGGUGAAAUUCCUGCCUCACUAGGUAACAAUUUUACACAACUUGCUUAUUUGGAUCUCUCAUUUAACAGUUUUACUGGUCAGAUUCCAUCAUCUUUUUCAAAUCUCCACCAGCUUCGUCAUUUAGGUCUUUCUUUCAAUAAUUUUGUUGGUAAAAUUCCUUCAUCAUUAGGUAACAAUAUUACACAACUUGCUUAUUUGGAUCUCUCACAUAACAGUUUUGGUGGUCACAUUCCAUCAUCUUUUUCAAAUCUUCAGCAGCUUCAUCAUUUAGAUCUUCAAUCCAAUAAAUUUGUUGGUAAAAUUCCAGAUAUGUUUACCAACCUAACCCACCUUAAUUUUUUAAGCUUGGCAUCAAAUGAACUGAUAGGCUCGAUUCCAAGUUCAUUCUUUGAACUUGUGAAUGUGACUGUGAUCCAUCUUUCUUCUAACAAUUUAAGCGGCACUGUUAAGCUGUACGAUUUUGCAAAGCUCAAAAAUCUUAAAUAUUUUUAUCUUUCUAAUAAUAGUUUAUCAUUGAGCACCAAAUUAACAGUCAACUCGUCUUUCCCUAAUCUUCUGGGGUUGGGUUUAUCGGCUUGCAAUAUAAGUAAGUUUCCAGACAUCUUGAGAACUCAACAUCAGUUAGAGUGGUUGGACCUUUCUAAAAACCAAAUCCGUGGUAGGAUUCCCAGUUGGAUGUACGAUAUUGGAGUACAUACUUUGGAAGGAUUAGAUCUUUCACACAACUUCCUGACAAGCAUAGAACAUCUUCCGUGGAAAAAUCUUAGAAUUCUUUACCUUCAUUCGAACUUACUUCAAGGAUCACUUCUAGAUCUACCACCUCACUUGAAUUACUUUUCAAUUUCCACCAAUAAUUUGAUUGGAGAGAUUCCUUCAUCAUUUUGUAAUUUGAGUUCCAUUCUAUAUUUUAACUUAUCCAACAAUGGCUUGAGUGGACAAAUUCCACAAUGUCUUGGAUACUCUACACUUGAAACUUUGGAUCUACGAACGAACAACUUCCAAGGUAGCAUCCCACAGACAUAUGCAAAGGGCUGCAACUUGACUUAUCUUCGACUGAGUGGCAAUCACUUGGAGGGACCAUUACCACCAUCUUUGAUUAACUGUGUCAAUUUGCAAUUUCUUGAUGUUGGCAAUAACAACUUGAGCGGCCCAAUUCCAGAAUGUCUUGGAAACUCAACACUUGAAGUCUUGGAUAUGAGAAUGAACAAGUUCAGUGGCAGCCUCCCUCAAACAUUUGCAAAAGGUUGUGUUUUGGCAAGUUUUAACCUUAAUGGCAAUCGGUUAGAAGGACCAUUGCCUCCAUCUUUGGUUAAUUGUCGGCAUUUGGAAGUUAUAAAUGUUGGGAAUAAUCAGAUUAAUGAUUCCUUUCCCCACUGGUUAGACGUUCUUCCCGAAUUGCAAGUACUUAUAUUGCGUUCUAAUAGAUUUUGUGGUCCCAUUGGUGAUACCAAAACAAGAGUUCCUUUCCCGAAGUUGCGAAUAAUUGAUCUCUCUUACAAUCGACUCACCGGUGUUUUGCCAAUAUGGUAUCUGAAUGGUUUUAAAGCCAUGAUGCACGGGGAUGACAAUAGUAUUAAAGUCAAUUAUAUGUGGUCGCUGAAUUAUUCUUACUAUGAAUCAAUAUCUCUGACUAUGAAAGGCAAUGACAUACAAAUGGAGAGGAUUUUAACCACUUUUGCAACUAUUGAUUUGUCGAGCAACAAAUUUCAAGGGGAAAUAUCAGUAGUGUUGGGAAAGCUUAAUUCACUCAAAAGUCUCAACAUUUCUCACAACAACCUGACAGGUGGCAUUCCAUCGUCGCUAAGAAAUCUGAUAGAGCUUGAAUCUCUAGACCUCUCUUCAAACAAGCUUACUGGACGUAUCCCAACACAACUGGCAAGUCUCAAUUAUCUUUCGGUGUUGAAUUUUUCGAACAACCAGCUCGAGGGACCCAUACCAAGAGGACCCCAGUUUAAUACAUUUGGAAAUGAUUCCUAUUCUGGUAACUCGGGGCUGUGUGGAUUCCCAUUAUCGAAAAGCUGCAGCAUUGAUGAGGCACCAGAGCCAACAACACCAACAGGAUUUAUCGAAGGAGACGAUGCUUCAAGCUGGUUUGAUUGGAAGCUCGCUAAGUUGGGUUAUGCAUCUGGAGUGGUGAUCGGCUUGUCCAUUGGAUACAUGGCAUUUGCGACUGGAAGGCCACAAUGGUUUGUAAGAAUGAUCGAAAGGAAGCAAUCCACGAAGUUGAGAAGGGUGAUCAGACGAGGCGGAGCAGGUAGAAGAAGUUUGUAGGUGCAUCUCUAAAGGCCCAGGUGAGUAAUUAUUAGUUUGUCUUUUGGAAUUAUUAGCUGGUUUCUACUGUUCUUUGAGUAGAUAGCAUGCUGAUAUUAUCGUAAUCUAGCAAUUGACUUACAAAAACCACCAUCCUAAUUAAUUUCAGAUUAUGUUUAUUAUCUUCAACAUCUAUAGUGAGAAAGAAAAUUUUAACUGAAUUAUUGAUGUGGUUGUUUUCUUCAGGAAUUAUAAACUCCUAGAAGCUAUCAGUGGAAGUCAAAUAAUCCUCCAAGUACUCAAAUUGUUUUUACUUUAAUUUCAAUUUCAUGAAAUUGCUUUUACUUUUAUUUCCAUUUCAUUAGAACAUGUAAUCACAGACGUAUGUUUUGAUGGUAAAAUGAUUUGAAGGAAAUUGUGUGGGGGGAACUCUACACUUAUAUCUUCAAAUUUGGGCGUAGAACGUACUAUAUCAAAGUUUGAGAGCGGAAAACAUUCUUAUUAAGUGGGUGCAUUGCCCUCUUUGAGAAAAUGUAUUAAAUGAAAUCCCACACAUCUGCUAAUGGGAUUGUACAACGUUGACGGCACUCACAUCUGAGGGUUUAAAGUAAUUUUCGUAGAUCUUUUAUUGUAAUAUAUGUAUCUAUAUUUCAAAAGGAAGAAACCACCGUCAUCCAAAUUUAAUUAAGAAAAAUCUUCACUUUUUCAUAUAUCAACUUUUUUUCGUUUUGUAGAAACAAAAAUAAUUAUGCGUAAAAUGAAACCAAACUGCCAUUAAAUUUAGAGGGGUUUUCAUAGCGAUGCCAUACCUUAACAGCAGUCCCCACGUACGGCGCGGCCAAUGAUUCCACUUAUAACAUGUUCUUAAGAUAAUUUGAUUGGGUGUAAAAAGAAAAUGGUUUGAAUAAUUGAAAAAACAUUGGUCCAAAAUCUCUAACCUUUUAUGAUCCUUGUUCAAAUGGCCCAGUACGUGCCACGUCAACAUGUGCAAACUCAUCCACGUCACCAGCCUCAGCGCUCUCGCCACGUCAUCACUCGAUGAUCAUUGGAUUAAGAAAAACAGUUGAAUUGGGUCUCGUCAGUCGUCACAGAGGCCGAGCACAAAAGACAAAGAGAAACCGAAAUGGCGCGAGCUUUGCUUCAUUUGAAUCGCACAGCCACGGCCAUAAUAAUUAUGUUGAUUGAUGUGGUUGGACUUUCGUAUGUUAUUAUUUAAAUCCCCUAAUAUGUUAAAAUUUAAAAAACUGUAAAACUUGUUUAAAGUAACAUAAAUAUAAAAAUUACUCUACUCAAAAUCUCAACCAUAAAUUAUAUAAAUAACUAAAUAUAAAUACAAAGUUAAAAACCAUGUCUCAUUCCUUUAAAAAACACACAUUGUGGAAUUGGGCUGCUCAAGUUGUUAUUCCUGAAAUUAAUAAACAUUAAACCGAUACAAUUAACUAAAUAUGGUGACAAUGGUCCUUCUAGGCGAUUGUCAUUCAGCGUAAGCAUACAAAUUGCAACCUUUUUGCAUAUGAUUGUGGGAUUCUACCACGAAGAUUGUUCAUUCUAACAUCUAAGCACCCCACUGUAAAGUUUCCAAGGCACGGCUGAAGCUAUUAUUGGACAUAGAGAUGGCCACUCGCCAAUGCGAGUAUGUUUUAGAAGGGCACGUAGCAUGGUAUGCACACAAAUUAACAAACUAGAUAGGGCUGAGAAUUUUAAGUAUGUGGUCCUUAAAAUCAUGUCCUUCUCUAAAUGCAACAAUGGAAAAUAUCAAAUAAUCGUGACUCAAUUAAUUGUAGCAAUAAUCAUGUAGGAGAUGAUAUGAGCUUAAUUUGGGUGUACAUCUUUGGUUUUAUAAGUUGAAUUUGAAUGUGUAAUAUUAUUGUUCUGAAACUCAAUAAGAUAAUUGAUUGGGUGUAAAAAGAAAAUGGAUUGAAUAAUUGAAAUAACUUAAGUCCAAAAUCUCUGACCUUACAUGAUCCUUGUUCAAAUGACCCAGUACGUGCCACGUCUACAUGUGAAAACUCAUCCACGUCACCAGCCUCAAUAUUAUCGCCACGUCAUCACUCAACAGGUUACCAGUGACGAUAAUUUGGAUAAGAAAAAUUGUUGAAUUGAGAGCCUUCACUCUUCACAGAGAAACCAAAAAAGCGCGAGCUUUGCUUCACUUGAAUAGCACAGCCAUGGCCUUAGUGGCCAGGGCUAAAGCCUACAAGUGCUACUACAGAGACAGUUCUUGAUGGAGCUCAGUUUCAAAUGAAGAACCAAAACACCCGCGUUUUGGUACUUGGAGUUACGGGUCGGGUCGUUGGAUCCACUGCUGUUUCUCUCUACAAAUUCUGCACCAACCUUCAUAUUGUAGUUGGCUCUCGAAACAGGUCAAAUCAUCAAUGUCCUUUUCUUUCUUCUGUUUGGUUUCCGAAAAAAUGCAAGAAAUAAAGGAGGGAAAUUUUUAAAGCUUUGUUAUUUUCUGUUAUUUUUAUGUUUACUAUGUUUCUUUGGUUCUUUUAAAAUUUAAAUUCAAGGUGAUGGCUAAGGGUAAACUGCAAUGCUUUUACAUGAUUCCGAAAGCACAUUUCUAAACAGCCACUCAACUACAAGCGAUUGUCAUGUCCUGCAAUUGUAGAUUAAGGCUACAUUAGGUAGUGGUAUUGUGCGGUCGAGGCUUUUUAAGGCACAUCUACUUUUAAAUGAGAGCUACUGUGAAAUCAAAGUUUUAGUUAUAAAAUAAAAGUUUAUAGUGUUUGGUAAUUUUUUUAAAUAAUAAUUUUGAUAAAAAUAGUAAACCUAACAUAGGUUAGGCAUUUGUGGAUAAAUUUGCUUUAAUUGUCAAACUGUGGCUAUACUAUUUACUAAAUAUUUUAGAGUGCCUAAACAAGCCAUUAUAAAAUUACCAAUUAUACAAAAAAUUGUAAUUCUCUCACUUUUUGGUUUUCAUAAGCAUUCGAAAGGCAAUCAUAUCUUUUUCUUUUUUUUUAUUGAUAUGCUUUGACCACGGUAUGUUAUUAUUUUAGAAUGUUGUCAAACAUGUUAGUUCUUGGAUGGAACUAUAGAGUUGUGAAUUCAAAUAGUUAUGGCUGGAAUGUUUCCUAAUUUAGAGUGUUGCUGAGAAAAUUCUGCAUACUGGCAGGGAAAAAAGUGCCACAAUGGUCUCUACACUGAGGAAGAAUUCUGCAUUUGCUGAAGUUAACGUUGACAAUGAAGGCUCAUUAUUAAUGGCUUUAAUGUUGUGUUUACUUUCUGAAGUGGGAGUAAGGAGUGUGGAUUCCUCCCACUCUAAUGUUCACUUCAACAUUUUAAGGUAGGAUGGGGAGUGGGAGUGGGACUCCAAUGUUCCGCUCCCACCUCUUCCUUUUCUACCCUCUUUUUAUUAAAUUUAAUAUAAUUAUAUUUAAUAAAUUAAUUCCACUCCCACCUCUUCCUUUUCUACCCUCUUUUUAUUAUAUUUAAUAUAAUUAUAUUUAAUAAAUUAAAAUAAAUAAUAUUAUAUUUAUUUAAAUAAUAUUAUUAUAUUUAACUAAAUAAUAAUUUGUAUUGAUUCUAAGUUAAAAUUACUUAAAAAUAAUAUUAUUAUAUUAAUAGAGAAUUAAUAAUAUUACUAUAAACUAUCUUUAUCUGAAAAUAUAAUACUAUUAUAUUUAUUUAAAAAUAAUAGUAUUAUAUUUAUUUAAUAUUAAUAAUUAAUAGUAAUAAAUAGUUUAUUCUAAGAAAAUAUUAAUUUCGUACUAUCUUAAUAGUAAAAAUGUUUUAUUUAUAUUGCCCUUAUCAAUAAUUUUUAAUUUACAUACUUAAAAUUAAAAUUAAUAAAACAAUGUGAUGUACAGAAUUAAGAAUAUUAAGAAUUAUUAUAAUUUUACAAAUAUAAUAAAAUAAAUAUUUACUCAUCAAAUAUAUAUUGUUAAUAACUUUGUAAUUAAAAACUAUAAUUCUUUAAAUAAAGGUAAAAUUAUAAUUUGAAACUAUUUACUCCCAAUUCAAGAUAAAGUAAACACAUAAAUUAGAUUCUUAUUUCCAUUUCAUACUUCCAUUCUGAUGUAAGUAAACAACAUGCUCUCACUCCUACUUUACACUCUCAAUCCUAAAAUUUCCACUUUUCAGAAUUCUUACUUCAAUCUAAAAUGUAAACACUACCUAAGAAGUGUGAUCAUUCCUCUCGUACUAGAUGUAUCUUCUGUUACUCCGCAUCAAUAAUUAUUUUUCUUCUAGGGUCGUGGUAAAGGAAUUUUUUCAGGACAGAUAUUUCGUUAUUGACAAUAUUUUAAUGAUGUUUUAGUCUAUAGUUGAAAUGCUGCAACUUUGCUUCUGCAGAUGUGGAUCUUGUGGUUCAUGCAGCAGAGCCUUUUCAAGAGGCACCGAAAUGCACUGUAUUGGAAUUUGCCAUGGAAACCAAGGUGAGGAAAGGUAAAUGUUGUGUUUGAUUCUCUCUUUUCCAAGUCCAGUUUUCUACGUUUUAUAUAUGUGAUGAUUGAAGUAUGUAUACAACUUUACUAUGUAACCGAGAUGUCAUCUUAUGUGUUCUUUUUGUGUCUCCUAACAGACAGCAUACAUUGAUGUUUGUGACGAUACCAGCAACUCUCAGCCCGCAAAGUCCUUCGAGGUUAAAGCAAUAACUGCAAACAUUCCAGCCGUAACUUCUGAAGGAAUCUAUCCAGGAGUAAGCAAUGGUGAUUUUAUGAACAUUCUUGUCCUGCAAUCUGCACUUCUACUGCAGAAAAUUAAAUAUAUGAUGUGAAGUGAAGAGUAUGGAUGGAUAGAGCACAAAUUCUGCAAUUGAAACAUGUAAAGCCUACAAAUUCUUGCUUUAGAGCUAAAACAUCAUUGUUGGUGAACCCAUAGGCCUGGCUCCAAAGCUCUUAUAUAUUAUGGACAGGAUCCAGCGUGCUUGUGUUCAUAUACAUGAUUUUUGCCACCGGAAGACCUCAGUGUUUUGUAAAGAUGAUUGAACGGAAGCAAUCUAAGAAGGUCACGAGGAGGGUGCAUCCACUGCUCCAAGCUAUUUGUAGGUUGCACGCUGAUUUUGAUAUAUUCUGAACUACUAUUUGAACUGCAUAAUAAUGUGACGUGUUUUUUGUACAGGAAUUUUAGACUCAUGGAAGGUAGCAUUGGAAGUGAAUCAAUCCUCCUGGUGCCAAAUUUGCCUUGCUUUAUUUCCAUAUCUUUAUUGGUAAUUAAAUUUAUAAAAUAUUUGAGGGAAAAAAUGAUUCGAAAAAUUAUUGAUGUGGGAAAUGGCGUGGGCUGACUUUGAUUUAGUGCAUCUCUGGGCUAUGAAAUGUUGAAUUUGGGCGUACUUGGAAGCCUGCAACAAGAUGAACAACAUUCACUGUCAUUUAGGAAAUUACCCAUGAGACUAUUGACAAAUUUCAAUGUUUCUGGACUAAAUAUCGCAUUUCAAGUUACUUAAUUUCGAGCACUUUAGGAAUCUUCUAUGAUUUUAUUUUUAUUUUUAUUUUAUAAGAAGUUCAUUUGUUACUUCAGUGUUAUAUCUUUUUCUUACUCUAAUUUCCAGUAUUUUUCUAAUAAUGGUUGGAAUCUGCUGUGUUCAUAGAUUAGGCAUUAACAGGCUAUAAAACCUCAAGGCUAAACAAUUUUUAUCAAUUAAACAUAUUAUUCGGAAACUUUAUUUCUUCUUUUCGUCUCACUUUAGAAAUAUUUAUAAGCCCAACGAAUUUGCCCGUUUAACAAAUUGUUCUUUGUAUGCGCCAUGGGGAAAAUCAAAUAAUAUUUAUAGGCUAACUUCAAUGCCUUCUUGCAUAUAAUUGUAAGAUUUGGGCAUUUAAUAUGUCAUUUGAAGUACGCAAUGAGAUGGAUAAAAAUCUUUUCCUUCUCGUGAUGUAUGCGAGACUUUUUGCCAAAUUCCAAUGCCUUCUUGCAUUAAAAGUGGGACACAUUAUUUUGUAUUAAAACGAAUUUGCCAGUUUAACACAUUGUACUAAUCAAAUAACUUUAUUUGAUUCGCUAUUCGAUCAUAAGGGAUGUAGGUGUUAUAACAUAUAUAUGGAUACAGUCUAUUCCUCUACCUUAUAUAAAACAAUAAUAACACCAACUGGAGUCUAGGCGGCUGCCACAUCACCAUGUACGACAGACAACUAACAUUUUUCUUAUCUAUAUAUCGUUUGAGCUUUAAUUUGGACUGGUUCAUGGAAAUUGAAUAAUCAAAGUCUACUAAAGACGUCAAGAAAGGAAACGAGUAAAAUACAAACAUAGUCUAUCAAUGUUUAAUGCUUAAUGUAACGUUACGUGUUGGCUGUAUUAAUAGAAAUUCUCCGCAUCUGCCAAUAGGCUCGUAGCCCCUUGACAACACUCAUGCUCUCAAAUCUUGAGAGCAAUUAAUUCGUGGGACUCACUUUUUUCUGUCAGUAUAAUUAGAUAUGGGUAGAUUUUUUCCACUAAUAUAAAUAGAGCAUAUAUCCCUAACAAAUUUACGAAAUUAUCCAUCUGACUUUUAGGAAAUUAUACCAUUUCAGGACCCAAAAUUGCAUUUGAAUUUAUUUUAAAUUACAGCGCUGAGGACCAACAAAGUGUUGGCUCCACUGGCAAUGGAGUCCCCUUAAGUGGCUUGACUGGGUUUGCUCCCCAGUUCGAGUCGCAGGGAAGUCGCCUUUGUUGGGAGAACAUGUGCCUCCCGGUUCGAGCGGGGACUUCUAGUCUGGGUUGUGGUACGGGCUUAAAGGUGUCUCCCAUAGUUGGGGCCCUCCCCAGGAUACCUCGUGAUUAUAUCAAAAAAAAAAUUACAGCGCUGAGGAAACUUCUAAGAUUUGUACUUUUAUUUUCAUAACAAAUUGUUAAGCAACUUCCGUUUGUUGCGUUUUUAAUUAAUUUCAAUUUAAUCCUUAAUCUUCUCUGAAUUUCUUUUCUUUUUUUUCAGCUUAGGAGAGCAUAUUAACGCCUACAUAAAAGAAGCUAUAUACCACUGUAAAUAGAGUACUAUUAGUACAAAAUUAAUUCAAACUAGUGAAAAAGAUCACAAAUUUAUAAAGCCUUACUGUGGAAUGCUCAAUGUUGACUUAGGAAAAGGGUUUAAGAUCUAUAUUGAGAAUUGAUCAAGCAAUUUCAGCAUAGAGAUUACACACAUAUAUAGUAAACAAUUAAGAGUAAAUGGAAGGUUGAAUUUUACAAAACUAGCGACAAAUGCACCAAUAAACUAGACUUGGUGCUCUGACUCUAAAGGUGUUCUAUUUAAUUAGAUUCCCCUGUAGUGGUGUGAUUAAAAGAGAUGGAUAGAAAAGGUUAUUUUAACUUAAGAGGUGGACUUGACUAAAGUGUUCAUUAAUGACAUGACGUUGAGAAAGAAAGACUUAUUCUCUACAUACCUCUUAAUUUGGGCAAUCCUACAUCAGUAACUUUCAACUUUUUUUUAUUCUUCCCAUGGGUUUCAUUAUCAUAAUUGUGGAAAAAAAGUUGUUGUUUGGAGUUUUGCAAAAUUAGCCAUAAGUUCAUGCAUCAACUAGAUUCCAAAACAAUAUCAUCAGGCUCAGUAUAACAAAGGACUUGGUGCAUACUCUAAGUCCAAAUGAAUUAUAAUUAAUUAGAUUAUUUCAUCCUCAAUUUUAAACGUUAGUAUUGAUCAAUCUUAAAAGUAGAUUACCCAUAUUAACUUGCAGUAAACUAAUUAAGAAGUAAAUGGAUGGUCGAACAACCUGCUUAACAAAUCGAAACAGAGGAGGGAAAAAUAUGAGUCUAGCUGGCUGUUACAUCUCUUUUUACAUACAUAAAUAAAUAUCAAAAUUAUUAUUAAUUGGAUGCAGCUUCAGCUUUGGUGCUGGUUUGUGAAAAUUGGAAAAACUGGAAAAUUGAUAGCUCUUUCUCCUUUUGAAGAAUCAAAGUCUACUUUAAAUAAUAAUCCCCAUCAAUAUUUAAUGCUUGUUAUUGACUUUAAACCAGCGGCCGCUUUCAGAAAGAAAGACUUCAAUCGAAAAGUAAAUAGAUUCCCUCCUUUACUUCCACUUCAUGAGUUACAACUAACCAUUUCACUUCUAUAUAUGGUAAUUUCUCUUCUUGGGAUUUCAUCAGGAGAAAAAAAGGAAAAAAAGAAAAGAAAAGAAAAGAAAAUGGGAUAAUAUCACUCAGCCUUAUCAACUUUUGAUUUGCCUGCAGUUAUUGUUCUUGUAUUAACGAGGCUAUGUAUCAUUCAAUUAACUAAACACAUUUUGGUGAACAUACAACUGAAAUCAUUUUCACACAAUAACGUAGCAAAAAGCUACUACAUAUCACAAUGUUGACCACUGGGCUAAUCAAGCAUUUACCUUUCCUAAUACAAUUUAUCACAAAACGAUUAUCCCUUUUCAUAUUUUAAGUUCAGUAGUAAGAAAACAGUGUCCGUUUCAUAUUUUCAGUUAUUGCUCAAUCCCUUUACAAAAAAGUAUGUACAUUUACAAGGGAUAGAAGAUUUUGGUUUGACUUUGAUAUGACCAUAAAUACUAUUGAAAUUACAAGCUUUAGAAGUUCACAAAAUAAAUAUUGUAAAUUUAAGGGGGCUAAAUCAUAAGCUUUACAAAUAAGUGGAUUCAAUUUUAGUUUGUACCUUUAUCAGUUAAUCUAAUUUUCCAAUUUUCAAACCAAAAUUUAGUUUUUAAUUUUUUGAUUAAAUUUCUUUAGAAAAUACUCAACUAAAUACUAUUUAUAGUUAAAUAUUAGUUUGAAUGAACACAUUCAUAGAUAAUUGUGUAAGCAAUUUAUUUGGUUAAUUAAUGGUUGUAAUCUUUAAAAAUGAGAAUUACUAAUUUUAAAAAAUUCCAAUGGUUACUGUAUUAAAAGUAUGUUUGGAACAUAGCAUUGCAUAGUAUUAUAAUACUAUUCAUAUUAAUUUAUCGCUAACCUAUGUUUGGUAAUUUUAGAAGCCACAUUGUGGUGCAUGUGCACCAGAAUGUGCCAACUGUUGCCUCAAUUGAGAUGUUGAACAUAUUCUAAUUAUCAUUUAAUAAUAAAUAAAAUAAAAUAGAAGUUAAAUUAUAAUGUUUUUAUUUAAUAACACAAUAUUACAUUAUAUUUAUACAUUAGUAAUUAAUAUAAAAUAAUAAUUUAAUAACUAUUUUAAUAUAAUUAUUGGUAAAGUAAUAAUAAAUCUAAAUAAUACUAAUUUAAUAUUAGUACAAAAUUAACAAAGUACAAUUUAACGCUAAAUAUUAUACAAUAUUAUUAUAAUACAAUUCUAAUUCAAUAUCUCAUAAAGUGCAUUAAAAGACAUGAUACGGUAUAAGUGAAGAGUAAUGGAUUUUAGUUUGCAUUAACGUAUGCCCAUUACUAUAAACCAAUGGCCCAACACUUGGCAUGUCAAAGACAAAAACUAUCCAUACUGGCGCCACAUCAUCACUCAUUGUAAACUGAAAAGAAAAUUUUUGAUAAGAAAACAGUUGAAUAAUUGAAUUUCGAGUCUUUGGUGGACAUUAUCCUUUUUAUAGUAAAUAUAUCUUUGAGUUAAACAGUUACUAAAACAUUGGGGCUAAUUUUUCAUUUAACUACAAAAUUACUUUUAUUGGAACCCAUAAAACAAUUUUUAAGAGGUUAAUUAGUUAUGUCACAUCUUCAACUAUUGUCAAAUUAUUAUUCGAGUUCAUCAUUUAAGUGGUAAAUGCGUUACUUAAAACAUUUCAAAUGAUAUAUUAAACAAAUAUUUUGAGGAACAAGGCUCAUUAUGUCUCCUCUCAUUAGUUGUAUUUUUAAUUUCUUUUUAAAAAAUUCUCUCAUAUUCAAUUAAAAAAAAUCAGCCACUCAAAAAAAAAAAAAAAUACUUAGCUUCGCGGCUGAAUGGGGCUAAAUUAUGUAUUGUUUGACUAGCAAAACUCUUACCACAUCGGCUGCCCACGUCAUAUGUGCCCACUAAGUUUAUUAUGGUGAAGUCCAUGUCAACAUGUCAAAACUCGGCCACGUCAUCAACUACGUCAUCUCUCAACUAGUUAUAACGGAUGAUAACUUGGAUGAGCAAAACAAUUGAAUUGAGUCUCUUCACAAAAGUAGGACCAUAAUUAUAACUAAUUUAUAAAAUUUAUAUUACUUUAUUUGCAAUAUCGUUUUUAAUUAUGUCUAUAUUAGUAUGAAUCUUAAACUCAAGUUUUGGAUUAAUAGAAUCUAGUAUUAUUAAAGUCCUUUGGGAUAGACUAAUAAUAACUUAAUAUUAAAAAUAAUUUUCAUUAUUUAUGUUACCUUAUUAAUUAUACUUCUUGUUUUAUUUUAUUCCUAUCAGAAGCUAUUUAUUUAUUAUUUUUAUUUUAUUACUAUAUUUAUAUUUAUUUAGGUUAUUAUAAUCAAAGGUUAUAAUAGUUAUUUAUAAGGAGGGUCUAUGUGACCACCUAAGCAAACCUUAGGGCCGUGGUUACGGGGGUGGUCCUUUUUCCCUAAGCAAUAAUGUAUGAAAUGACCUUGAAUGUACUUAAAUCAUAUGCAACCUAUUUACUAUCUCUCUUUGAGAGUUUUUUUUUUUAUUGAAUAUUAGAUAUUGAGAGACUUAAUCAGAUGCGAUGAGCAACAUGUCACCUAAUUAUAGACUGGUGUGUUAAAAGCUUGGUCAAUUAUCAAGUAACACGUGGUAUCACGCACAAUAACAUACACGAUGAUGCACAUCUGAUCAUUCUUUUUGGAUAUCAAUUGAUCUAAGCCUACAAGUUCAACGUAUAGAGUACACGUAUUUACAGUAGAAUACAAAGUGUGUCAACUUGCUUAAUAAACUAAAACAUAAUCAAAAUAGAGGAGGGAAAAUGAACAGUGUGUCUAUGUAUGUGUAAUUGGAGUUUGGAUCUUACGGACUUAGUCGACUAACUUUCAAAUAACUUCAUUUGAUUCGCCAUUGGAUGAUAAAGGAGGUAUGUGUUAUAACAUGUAUAACUUCAGAUUUCGAAUUUCAACCCCAUUCCUAUGGAUGUGGAGAAAUUUGAAUAGUCAUAAAAUUAUAAAUGGAUGUGGAGAAAAUUGUAGUGAAGUAAUUAAGAAGUAAAUGGAAGGUCUAACAGCUUGCUAAGAAGCUGAAAUAGAAUCAAAACAGAGAAGGGAAAAUGAAUUUUGUCUGUGUAAAGUGUCCGUUUAAUGUCAGUUUGAACCAUGAGUUUCAUAGCCGUGGAAAAGAAAUUGAAGUAGUUUGGAAUUUUACUAAAUUGACCACAAAUUCAUGCACCUACUAGAUUCCAAAACCAUAUCGUGAGGCUCCCAGUAUAACAAGACUUGGUGCAUGCUCUAAGCCUAAAUGAAUUACAAUUAAUUAAGAUACUCCUCCUCAAAAGAUAGUAUUGAUGAAGCUUACAGUUAGAUUACACAUAUUAAUUUGUAGUCCACUAAUGGAAGGUCUAACAACUUAGCUUAACAAACUGUAACAGAGUCAAAACAGGGGAGGGAAGAUGAAUUGUGUUUGUGUAAAUGACUGUUAGUCUAGCUAGCUGUUACACCGGCAAAUAUGACAGAUAACGAACAUCUCGCCGAACUUAAGUAAAUAUCUAAAUGGUUAUUAAUUGGAUACAGCUUCAGCUUUUGGACUGGUUUGUGGAAAUUGAAAAAAUUUGAAAAGUGUUCCUCUUGAAGAAUCAAAGUCUACUUUAUACGUAAAGAAAGGGGAUCCCAGUAAAGAUAAUCCAUCAAUGUUCAGUGGAAUAAUUAAAAGUGAUUUUUUAAUUAUUCCACUGCCCAACAUGAGAUUCCAAAGCAAGACUUGGUUCCCUAAGUCAAUAAGUAUCGAGGGGUCCACACGCAUUUCCGCGAGGCAUUAAAUAUAUUUUAAUUAUAAUUAUAAUAAAUAAAAUAUAAAAUAAGUUAUAUUAUAAUAUUACACAAAUAGAUUACACAUAUUAUUCCUCCUCAUCUUUCUUAACAAGUAGAUUACACAUAUAUAUUAUCAAGAAGUAAAUGGAAGGCCGAACAACUUUUUUAACAAACUGAAACAGAAUUAAUGCAGAGGAGGGAAAAUCAAUUGUGCUUUGUGCAUAAUGUAUAUGACUGACUAACUAACUAAAUUAAUGGUGUUGGAUUAAUAGAUGGGAAGACGUUCAAGAAGCCACGUUGUCCGUACGAGAAGGAGCGUUUAGAUGCCGAGUUGAGGCUGGUGGGAAGUUUCGGGCUGCGGUGCAAGAGGGAGCUGUGGAGGGUUCAGUAUGCAUUGAGUCGGAUUCGCAACGCGGCGAGGGAUCUUCUCACUCUGGACGAGAAGGACCCUCGCCGCAUCUUCGAAGGCCAGGCCCUCCUUCGCAGGAUGUUUAGGUACGGCCUUUUGGAGGCGACUCAGCAUAAAUAACACAUAACUAAUAUCAUUCCGCGUCGAGCACGUCGUCAAGAUCUCCCUCUUGAAAGGAUUCCACUUACCACCUAAAUUCCAAAGCAAGAAGACUUGGUGCUGUAAGCCAAUAAAUAUUAUAUUAUUAAUUAAUUACACACCAUAUUCAACUUCUAUAAAUAGUCAUUAUAUCUCUCUCUCUUCUUGUGAUUUCAUCAUCCAGAAAAGAAAAAGAAAAAGAAAAUGGGUUAUAUCACUCAGCCUUAUCAACUUUUUAUUUGCCUCCAGUUAUUCCUCUUCUAUUCUCAGUGUUCAGCAAUACUUUGCUCUCACCACCAAAGUUCUGCUUUACUCCAAUUUAAGCAGCUCUUUUCCUUUGAAAAAGAUUGUUCAUCCGGUUGUGAUAUAUUUCAACAAAUAUCUCGUCCAAAGAUGAUGUCUUGGAAAGAGGACGCUGAUUGCUGCUCCUGGGAUGGAGUAACAUGUGAUUCGGUGACGGGUCACGUGAUUGGCCUCGACCUCAGUUGCAGUUGGCUUCACGGCAACAUCCCUUCCAACAGUAGCCUUUCCUUGCUUCCUCGCCUGCGAAAGCUCAACCUAGCCUUCAAUGAUUUCAAUUUCUCUAAAAUUUCUUCUGGUUUUACUAUUCAAUUUCCAAGUUUGACACUCCUUAACCUCUCUUUCAGC
rnacentral:lncRNA from 1 species